rnacentral:rRNA from 1 species
UACGAAGGGUGCAAGCGUUACUCGGAAUUACUGGGCGUAAAGCGUGCGUAGGUGGUUCGUUAAGUCUGAUGUGAUAGCCCUGGGCUCAACCUGGGAAUGGCAUUGGAAACUGGCGAUCUAGAGUGCGGUAGAGGGUAGUGGAAUUCCUGGUGUAGCGGUGAAAUGCGUAGAUAUCAGGAGGAACACCGGUGGCGAAGGCGCCUAUCUGGCCCGAUACUGACGCUGAGGCGCGAAAGCUAGGGGAGCAAACGGG